UUUUCAGGUCUUGGCUCCGGGCAAGCGGGCUGGGGCAGCACAUGGUGGCAUGCUGUCCUGGCAUCGCUCCUGACGUGGCGGUACUGGAAUGUCUCCUUGCGGGGGGAGAAGAUGGUUUACUUUGGCUGGUGCUUAUACAAGUGCAGUUGACUUCAGCAGCCUGAGUUUCACCCAGAGUCCUGAACAGCAGGGGAACAAAUAGCUCUGAGUAAUACCAGUUUAAACCGAAAAUGAAUAAAGGGAAUAAGAAGAAUUCCCAUUCUUCAAGUGAAAAUAUUAAUACUACAAUAGGAAAAAAGAAGCCUUUAUUUUUAGUCUUCAUAAAGCAAGUGAACAUUUGGAAAGUUCUGCAGUUUGUGGAACGCUUGCUCUUUCAGCAUUGAUGAUACUGAAGAAAUAACAAGGCUCUGCAGUGUAGAAAGUUGUGUCAAUAGGCUGAAUGAUACUGUUGUGCUUACAGCAGUGAGAAGAGAAUCCCUUGAUGAAAUCUACAGAGCUGCUAUACAGAAAGAUUGGACACUUGCUGUACCAUGGUUGGCAGUGUGAUUUUAAUUUUUUUUCCUCCAGUUCUUACUGGCAGUUACAGAUAGGAAAGAAACCUCAGUGGAAGUGUGAUUGUUCGUAUGUACGCCGGUUGAUGAAAGCAGUCCUUCUCCUUGCUGCAAUAAUAAUUUUAAGAUCUCUCCCCCCUCUUCCUGAAGCAUUCUAGGGAUAAGCCCAGAAAUAAUAAGAAACAUGAAAUGUGGGAUGCAGAAGUAUUUAUGUACAAACCAGAAGUAGAUUUUUUUAAAAAAGUAAAACCAGAGAUAAGAUGCAAUGAUCACUUUGAAUUGCCUAACUAGACACUCCAGCUUAUCUGCAUCUUUUAUCUUUUCUAAACUGUUCUUCAUGAAAUACAGUUUUAAUAUGUUCACAAAGUUGAUUUAAAAUAUGCAGGAAUAAGAAACCACAGAGAACAUUCAGGGAGCUAUUAGCUAAUGAUACCAGAGAAUAUGCAGGAUCCAGUGUGUUAUAACUAGAAACAAGAAGGGACAGGCUUUUUAAUCUGGAUGGUUUUAUGUGGAAUUAAGCAUGUGUGUAUUUAUGUGCAUAUAAGUGUCUUUAUAUAUGUACAGAUAAAUAUAUAAAUGUCAACAACAGUGUGAAAAGUUCAAAGCUACUCAAAUACAAUGUAGUAGAUUUUUAGUGUUUAUUGGGUGCAUUUUAAAUGCAAUUUUUCUUUCCAUAUGGACUGUAUUUUCAGUCUCCUUUUCUUUCUCUUCACCUCAUUGGCGUAUUCAUUUUCUUUGUAUAGAAGACCAGCAGGAGGUCUGUAGAAUAACUCUUAGUAAGGACUACAGGCUUUGGCCUAUAGUUUUAGUGUGGAU